rnacentral:rRNA from 1 species
UGGGGAAUAUUGCACAAUGGGCGCAAGCCUGAUGCAGCCAUGCCGCGUGUGUGAAGAAGGCCUUCGGGUUGUAAAGCACUUUCAGCGGGGAGGAAGGCGGUGAGGUUAAUAACCUCAUCGAUUGACGUUACCCGCAGAAGAAGCACCGGCUAACUCCGUGCCAGCAGCCGCGGUAAUACGGAGGGUGCAAGCGUUAAUCGGAAUUACUGGGCGUAAAGCGCACGCAGGCGGUCUGUCAAGUCGGAUGUGAAAUCCCCGGGCUCAACCUGGGAACUGCAUUGGAAACUGGAAGGCUAGAGUCUGGUAGAGGGGGGUAGAAUUCCAGGUGUAGCGGUGAAAUGCGUAGAGAUCAGGAGGAAUACCGGUGGCGAAGGCGGCCCCCUGGACAAAGACUGACGCUCAGGUGCGAAAGCGUGGGGAGCAAACAGG